AAAAUACUCCCUCCGUCCAGAAAUACUUGUCGGAAAAACGCAUAAAAAUGGAUGUAUCUAAAACUAAAAUACGUCUAGAUACAUCCAUUCCUCCGACAAGUAUUUUCGAACUGAGGGAGUACUAU
rfam:Triticum aestivum genome assembly, contig: Triticum_aestivum_CS42_TGACv1_scaffold_129653_2BL